UACGUAGGGGGGCAAGCGUUGUCCGGAAUCAUUGGGCGUAAAGCGCGUGUAGGCGGUUCGGUAAGUCUGCUGUGAAAGUCCAGGGCUCAACCCUGGGAUGCCGGUGGAUACUGUCGAGCUAGAGUACGGAAGAGGCGAGUGGAAUUCCCGGUGUAGCGGUGAAAUGCGCAGAUAUCGGGAGGAACACCAAUUGCGAAGGCAGCUCGCUGGGACGUCACUGACGCUGAGACGCGAAAGCGUGGGGAGCAAACAGG
rnacentral:rRNA from 1 species